rnacentral:rRNA from 1 species
AGUCAUAUGCUUGUCUCAAAGAUUAAGCCAUGCAUGUCUAAGUAUAAGCAAUUAUACAGCGAAACUGCGAAUGGCUCAUUAUAUAAGUUAUCGUUUAUUUGAUAGUACCUUACUACUUGGAUAACCGUGGUAAUUCUAGAGCUAAUACAUGCUAAAAAAUCCCGACUUCGGAAGGGAUGUAUUUAUUAGAUUAAAAAACCAAUGCCCUCCGGGCUCUUUGGUGAUUCAUGAUAACUUCUCGAAUCGCACGGCCUUGCGCCGGCGAUGGUUCAUUCAAAUUUCUUCCCUAUCAACUUUCGAUGUUUGGGUAUUGGCCAAACAUGGUUACAACGGGUAACGG